rnacentral:rRNA from 1 species
AGGGAAUCUUCCGCAAUGGACGAAAGUCUGACGGAGCAACGCCGCGUGAGUGAUGAAGGUUUUCGGAUCGUAAAACUCUGUUGUUAGGGAAGAACAAGUAUCGUUCGAAUAGGGCGGUACCUUGACGGUACCUAACCAGAAAGCCACGGCUAACUACGUGCCAGCAGCCGCGGUAAUACGUAGGUGGCAAGCGUUGUCCGGAAUUAUUGGGCGUAAAGCGCGCGCAGGCGGUCUUUUAAGUCUGAUGUGAAAGCCCACGGCUCAACCGUGGAGGGUCAUUGGAAACUGGGAGGCUUGAGUGCAGAAGAGGAGAGUGGAAUUCCACGUGUAGCGGUGAAAUGCGUAGAGAUGUGGAGGAACACCAGUGGCGAAGGCGGCUCUCUGGUCUGUAACUGACGCUGAGGCGCGAAAGCGUGGGGAGCAAAC